AUGCAUUUAUAUUUACAGUUGCACGGUUAAUGACUGCAGUUAUGCACUGUUUUUCCCCAGCAUGAGCAAGACAAGAACCUUCAGGAGUAAGUGUUUUGAAAUGCAUUCAUUCUUUUGGAUUUGGGUGGAUUUAUUGAAGUAUUAAGCAAGUUACUCUGUAGCUGGACAUCACUAAAUAUUCUCCAAAAUUCUGUCACUGUAGACAUUUUGGUGGAAAAACAAACAAAAUAACAGCUGCCCAACAGUUUUGCAACAAUGUACUUACUAGUUACACAAAUGUAAGAAAAUACUCUUUAGCCUAGAUAUCCACUGUUGACACAUGCAAAGAGCAUUUGUGGAACAUUUUCACAUUGAAGGAAAACUACUGCCAUGAAAAAAGAUCAAUUUACUGCCCAUGUGACAUUGUAAUCUUUAAAAAGAAACCCCUAGCCUGAUGACGUCUGCUAUGCAUGUCACAUAUAUACAGACCAUUCAUGGACCAGAGGCUGCGACACUGUGCCUGUACUACAACCAGGGAAACAGGGAACGAAGCAUAAAGGUUCUGCUAUGCUCAGUGACACAGUCUGUCCAGAUGGAAAGGCGACCUGAACAGGAAAAUGAAUGACAGCAAAAUUCAUCAUGAAGAGAGAGAAAGUAAGAUAAUCUCAAGAUGAAUGAGCACUUUACUCACUUUGGCAAGAACUGCUUAAAGCUAGUAAGAUAAUAAAGUUCUAAAAUAACACAAAUGAGAAGCAGAGACAUGGCAGCAGGGGCGUUUUUACACUUUAUUUUCCACCUUACAAAACAGAAGUUGUUUAUCUUUUAUGAUUCUUGUUUUCUCAAGACAAAAUGCAGGAGCGAAGGAAAAAGACCCAACAACAACAACACAAACCAACAGUAGACCACAUUCCUUGGUGCACCACAUAUUACUAACGGCAGUAAUAACUAAGAACUUUUGCCAGGGUUGUCAAACCUCUAAAAAACCUUGUGUACUGCAGCCACUCUGCAUGCUUUUGGCUCCCUUCCUUUCUUAUCAUGAUAAAUUCUGCUGCAGUUUUUUCCUUUGUUGACUGCCACAGUCUGGAGUGUGAGACCAGGAAAUUCAUUUUAGGUGUGUAGCUGUGAACUUUUCCAUAUAACAAAAACAAGUUUCC